UCUUGAUCACUACCCUAUAUAUAUAUAUAUAUAUAUAUAUAUAUAAUUUUCUUCCCUUCCCUUCGACCCUCACUCUCCCGCGAUGGCGGCUCAAGAUUUCCGCCGUUUCGCUCAGGUAAUGGAUGAUCUCGACACCACAUUAGGGAACUGACCGCCAACAAUCUGACUCUAAGUCGCCGUCAAUUGAGAGAUAAAGGGCGUCAAUUGAGAGAUAAAGCUCAAGAAGAUAUCAACAACGGCCGUUUGCUUGAAGAACGCGAGAAGCGCAGAUCUGUGCAAGCCCAGAGAAUGAGCAUAAUCAACAAGCUCACCGACCAAACUGUGUUUAUUAGAGAGGAAGCGGAAGUUAAUCUGAUUGAGCGAGAGCGCUGUAACUUGGCCAUGAGAGUGCUCACCAACAGUCCAGAAUUGUAUCAGAUUGCGUUGAAUAGCAGACUGCAGGUAGAACUAGUCGAGAUCGCUGCCCCCAAUCAAGAUGAAGAGGGUGAGGAUAGCGAUGAAGAUGAUUCUGACUAUGUGCCAGAAGAAGAAGACUCGGAUUCGGACUGAGAGCGUUCCAUCUCAGGAAUUUCUGCGCGCGGAAGAAUUCUUUUCUCGAAUUUUUAAUUGUUGAUAUCUACGGUUUCCAGUUACAAAAUAAGUUGACUCAGUUACAAAAAGUGUAAAAAUGUUGAGUUUUCUUGAUUGCUCUAUUUUCCACUUUUGUUGAUUGCAAUUGCAAUUGCAUUUGCAUUUCCGUCGUAAAUGCAAAA